rnacentral:rRNA from 1 species
CACUGCCGAGAAAAGCCUCUAGAUAGAAAAUAGGUGCCCGUACCGCAAACCGACACAGGUAGUCAAGAUGAGAAUUCUAAGGUGAGCGAGCGAACUCUCGUUAAGGAACUCGGCAAAAUGACCCCGUAACUUCGGGAGAAGGGGUGCUCUUUAGGGUUAACGCCCAGAAGAGCCGCAGUGAAUAGGCCCAAGCGACUGUUUAUCAAAAACACAGGUCUCUGCUAAACCGUAAGGUGAUGUAUAGGGGCUGACGCCUGCCCGGUGCUGGAAGGUUAAGAGGAGUGGUUAGCUUCUGCGAAGCUACGAAUCGAAGCCCCAGUAAACGGCGGCCGUAACUAUAACGGUCCUAAGGUAGCGAAAUUCCUUGUCGGGUAAGUUCCGACCCGCACGAAAGGCGUAACGAUUUGGGCACUGUCUCAACGAGAGACUCGGUGAAAUCAUAGUACCUGUGAAGAUGCAGGUUACCCGCGACAGGACGGAAAGACCCCGUGGAGCUUUACUGUAGCCUGAUAUUGAAAUUCGGCACAGCUUGUACAGGAUAGGUAGGAGCCUUUGAAACGUGAGCGCUAGCUUACGUGGAGGCGCUGGUGGGAUACUACCCUAGCUGUGUUGGCUUUCUAACCCGCACCA